UUAGGACUACAAGUAAGUUGUUUGGCUUCAACACGCUAACGUGCAGUCUCAUGCUAACCAAACAACUUACUUGCAGUCCUAA
rnacentral:pre_miRNA from 1 species